rnacentral:rRNA from 1 species
GACGAACGCUGGCGGCGUGCUUAACACAUGCAAGUCGAACGGAAAGGCCCUGCUUGCAGGGUACUCGAGUGGCGAACGGGUGAGUAACACGUGGGUGAUCUGCCCUGCACUUCGGGAUAAGCCUGGGAAACUGGGUCUAAUACCGGAGAGGUGCCAUUUUCAUGGUGAGGGUUGGAAAGUUUUUUCGGUGUAGGAUGGGCUCGCGGCUUAUCAGCUUGUUGGUGGGGUAAUGGCUUACCAAGGCGGCGACGGGUAGCCGGCCUGAGAGGGUGGCCGGCCACAUUGGGACUGAGAUACGGCCCAGACUCCUACGGGAGGCAGCAGUGGGGAAUAUUGCACAAUGGGCGCAAGCCUGAUGCAGCGACGCCGCGUGGGGGAUGACGGCCUUCGGGUUGUAAACUCCUUUCGCUAGGGACGAAGCUUUUUGUGACGGUACCUAGAGAAGAAGCACCGGCUAACUACGUG